rnacentral:rRNA from 1 species
GACGAACGCUGGCGGCGUGCCUAAUACAUGCAAGUCGAACGGUCUUUUUUAUGGAAGCUUGCUUCCGCUGAGAAGAUAGUGGCGAACGGGUGAGUAACACGUGGGUAACCUGCCCAUAAGAGGGGGAUAACAUCCGGAAACGGGUGCCAAUACCGCAUAGUUUUCUUGAUCGCAUGAUUGAGAAAGGAAAGACGGCCUUUGUGCUGUCGCUUAUGGAUGGACCCGCGGCGUAUUAGUUAGUUGGUGAGGUAACGGCUCACCAAGACGAUGAUACGUAGCCGACCUGAGAGGGUGAUCGGCCACAUUGGGACUGAGACACGGCCCAAACUCCUACGGGAGGCAGCAGUAGGGAAUCUUCCGCAAUGGACGAAAGUCUGACGGAGCAACGCCGCGUGAGUGAAGAAGGUUUUCGGAUCGUAAAACUCUGUUGUCAGAGAAGAACAAGUCGGAGAGUAACUGCUCCGGCCUUGACGGUAUCUGACCGGAAAGCCACGGCUAACUACGUGCCAGCAGCCGCCGUAAAAC